CCGAAAGAUAUUCUGUAAGAAUCAUCAGUCAAAUAUAUCUGAAAGUUGAGAAGCUGAAACAAAGAGAUAAAAAGCUUAUUUUGGAUUUUAGGAAGAGGAUUGAAAAGGUAUCUAGCAAUAACAAUAAGCAGGCUGAUGGAAGCGGAAGACGACAUGAAGCCCAACCAGUCAAAGGGAAAACUACAGGAGACAGAGGUGCUAAUGGACCAGAAAUCUGAAAUGGUACUAGACUUAGAGGAAAAGGUGCACCGCAGCAAGAGAGACAGACGUAACUCCCUACAUCGUACACAGCUUCUUGAGAGCCAGAUGAAGACAGUGCGUGGAGAGCUCGCAGAUACGCUCGACCAUCUACAGUUUCUGCGCAAUGUACUACGCCGCACACAGCAAAAUGCAGAGGCCCGUAAAGCUGCCAUGGAUAAACUAGCGGCUGAGCUCAGGUGAAAUUCUACAGUUAUGCUUUUUGACUUCUUGUGUCUGUCUCAUGAAGUCCCUCCAGGCCCUAGAUAAGAAAAAAAAAAGUUGGCAAACUUAAUCAUAUGCUGGCUCACAGACAUAACACUAACCAAAAUACACAUGUUUUAUGUUACAAAAAAUCUCCUGUAAACAGGGAGGUUGCAGUAUGUGUGUUAUGCUCAUGGAGUGUGACUUUCUUUUGAAGUCUCAAUUGAUUUUUUAAUCUAAUAAAGUCAAUUCUACUUUCCCUGUCUGUUGUAGA
rnacentral:lncRNA from 1 species